rnacentral:rRNA from 1 species
UGGCUCAGGACGAACGCUGGCGGCGUGCCUAAUACAUGCAAGUCGAACGGUCUUUCUAUGGAAGCUUGCUUCCACUGAGAAGAUAGUGGCGAACGGGUGAGUAACACGUGGGUAACCUGCCCAUAAGAGGGGGAUAACAUCCGGAAACGGGUGCUAAUACCGCAUAGUUUUCUUGAUCGCAUGAUCGGGAAAGGAAAGACGGCCUUUGUGCUGUCGCUUAUGGAUGGACCCGCGGCGUAUUAGUUAGUUGGUGAGGUAAUGGCUCACCAAGACGAUGAUACGUAGCCGACCUGAGAGGGUGAUCGGCCACAUUGGGACUGAGACACGGCCCAAACUCCUACGGGAGGCAGCAGUAGGGAAUCUUCCGCAAUGGACGAAAGUCUGACGGAGCAACGCCGCGUGAGUGAAGAAAGGUUUUCGGAUCGUAAAACUCUGUUGUCAGAGAAGAACAAGUUGGAGAGUAACUGCUCCAGCCUUGACGGUAUCUGACCAGAAAGCCACGGCUAACUACGUGCCAGCCGCAGC